AACGCGAAGAACCUUACCUAGGCUUGACAUGUUUUUGACAGCUUCCGAAAUGAAGCCUUCCAAAGUUUACUUUGGACAAUUUCACAGGUGUUGCAUGGCCGUCGUCAGCUCGUGUCGUGAGAUGUUGGGUUAAGUCCUAUAACGAGCGCAACCCUUGCUGUUAGUUGCUACUUCGUGAGAAGGCACUCUAGCGGGACUGCCUGGGAAACCAGGAGGAAGGUGGGGAUGAUGUCAGGUCCGCAUGGCCCUUAUGCCUAGGGCAACACACGUGUUACAAUGGUUGGUACAAAGGGUUGCGAACCCGCAAGGGGGAGCUAAUCCCAUAAAGCCAAUCUAAGUUCAGAUUGAGGUCUGCAACUCGACCUCAUGAAGUUGAAAUCGCUAGUAAUCGCAUAUCAGAACGAUGCGGUGAAUACGUUCCCGGGCCUUGUACACACCGCGUGUCU
rnacentral:rRNA from 1 species